rnacentral:rRNA from 1 species
UACGGGGGGGGCAAGCGUUGUUCGGAAUUACUGGGCGUAAAGGGCUCGUAGGUGGUCAACUAAGUCGGACGUGAAAUCCCUCGGCUCAACCGAGGACGUGCGGAAGAAACUGCAAGGCUCGAGUCCGGAAGAGGGGGGCGGAAUUCCCAGUGUAGCGGUGAAAUGCGUAGAUAUUGGGAGGAACACCAGUGGCGAAGGCGGUCCCCUGGGCCGGAACUGACGCUGAGGCGCGAAAGCGUGGGUAGCAAACGGG